rnacentral:rRNA from 1 species
GACGAACGCUGGCGGCACGCUUAACACAUGCAAGUCGAACGAGAGAAGAGAAGCUUGCUUUUCUGAUCUAGUGGCGGACGGGUGAGUAACACGUGAGCAAUCUGCCUUUCAGAGGGGGAUACCGAUUGGAAACGAUCGUUAAUACCGCAUAACAUAAUUGAACCGCAUGAUUUGAUUAUCAAAGAUAUCGCUGAAAGAUGAGCUCGCGUCUGAUUAGCUAGUUGGUAAGGUAACGGCUUACCAAGGCGACGAUCAGUAGCCGGACUGAGAGGUUGAUCGGCCACAUUGGGACUGAGACACGGCCCAGACACCUACGGGAGGCAGCAGUGGGGAAUAUUGCACAAUGGAGGAAACUCUGAUGCAGCGAUGCCGCGUGAGGGAAGAAGGUUUUAGGAUUGUAAACCUCUGUCUUCAGGGACGAAAAAAGACGGUACCUGAGGAGGAAGCUCCGGCUAACUACGUG